UUGAGGCCAAUGAUGGCGAGGUUUUGGGAUUAUAAGUCACAGAUGAUGACUAGGUCACUAGCGGUCUGAGGUCUAC
ensembl:snoRNA predicted gene, 25055